UACAGAGACUGCAAGCGUUAUUCGGAGUUCACUGGGCGUAAAGGGUGCGUCAGGUGGCCGUGUGUGUCAGAUCGGUGAAAUCCCGGGCUUAACUCCGGAACUGCGUCUGAAACUAACACGGCUAGAGCGAUUGGAGAGGGUAGGUGGAAUUCACGGUGUAGCAGUGAAAUGCGUAGAUAUCGUGAGGAACACCAGAGGCGAAGGCGACUACCUGGACAAUAGCU
rnacentral:rRNA from 1 species